GAAGCGCUGGAGGGUAGAGUGG
rnacentral:siRNA from 1 species